CAGGCGGAGGCGGGCGGGGAGGCGGGGGGGGAUGCGGCGGCUCGGCGGUGCCUGCCCUCGCCUCUCCCCGCGCUGGGCUGAGACGCCGGGGCCGCAUGAACAAUAGGCGGCGGCCCCGGCCCCGCCGCCCCCCGCCGCGCCCGCCGCGCCCUAUGGAGCAGCCUCGCCAUGGAGCCCCUCUCCGAGCUCGGCCAGGAGGGCGCGGGCGCCGCGCCGCUCUGGACCGCCGUGUUCGAGUACGAGGCUUGCGGCGAGGAUGAGCUGAGCCUGCGGCCGGGGGACGUGGUGCAGGUGCUGUCCCGGGACUCGCACGUGUCCGGCGACGAGGGAUGGUGGACGGGGCAGAUCGACCAGCGCGUCGGCAUCUUCCCCAGCAACUACGUGAGCAGCGGCGCGCAGGGGGGCGGCCCCGAGCUGCGGCCCCGCUACCCGCCGCCCCCCGCCAUACAGCUCCAGGAGAUCGACUUCUCAGAGCUUGUUCUGGAGGAAAUCAUUGGCAUAGGGGGCUUCGGAAAAGUGUAUCGAGCUGUAUGGAUAGGAGAUGAGGUUGCUGUCAAGGCAGCUCGCUAUGAUCCUGAUGAGGACAUCAGCCAGACCAUUGAGAAUGUCCGUCAAGAGGCCAAGCUCUUUGCAAUGUUAAAGCAUCCCAACAUCAUUGCCCUCAGGGGUGUGUGUUUGAAGGAACCUAAUCUGUGCUUGAUCAUGGAGUUUGCCCGUGGAGGAUCACUAAAUAGAGUGUUGUCUGGUAAAAGGAUACCUCCUGACAUACUAGUGAACUGGGCAGUACAGAUUGCAAGGGGAAUGAACUACCUGCACGAGGAAGCAAUUGUUCCCAUAAUUCAUCGUGACUUGAAGUCCAGCAACAUACUGAUACUCGAAAAGGUGGAAAAUGGAGAUCUGAGCAACAAGAUAUUGAAGAUCACGGAUUUCGGCUUGGCCAGGGAAUGGCAUAAAACUACCAAAAUGAGCGCAGCUGGGACAUAUGCCUGGAUGGCUCCUGAGGUCAUCCGCUCCUCCAUGUUCUCCAAAGGCAGCGAUGUGUGGAGUUACGGUGUGCUGCUUUGGGAACUGCUAACAGGAGAAGUACCAUUCCGAGGAAUUGAUGGACUUGCAGUAGCGUAUGGUGUUGCCAUGAAUAAACUUGCCCUCCCAAUCCCUUCCACGUGUCCAGAGCCUUUUGCCAAACUCAUGGAAGAUUGUUGGAACCCUGACCCCCACUCACGACCUUCCUUUGCCAGCGUCCUAGACCACCUCACUGCCAUAGAAGAGUCUGGUUUCUUUGAAAUGCCCAAAGAUUCCUUCCACUCCCUGCAGGAAGACUGGAAACAAGAGAUCCAAGAGAUGUUUGAUCAGCUCAGAGCCAAAGAAAAGGAGCUGCGCACAUGGGAAGAAGAGCUGAGUCGUGCUGCUGUUGAGCAGAAGAACCAUGAGGAGUUGUUACGAAGGCGGGAACAGGAGCUGGCAGAACGUGAGAUUGACAUACUGGAAAGGGAACUCAACAUCAUCAUCCACCAGCUGUGUCAGGAGAAGCCUCGGGUGAAGAAGCGCAUGGGGAAGUUCAAGAGGAGCAGACUCAAGUUAAAAGAUGGCAAUCAUAUCAGCCUGCCUUCAGAUUUCCAGCAUAAAUUCACUGUGCAGGCUUCUCCAACGAUGGAUAAAAGGAAAAGCUUGAUCAGUAGCUGCUCCAGCCCCCCUGCAAGUCCCACCAUUAUUCCCAGACUCAGGGCCAUACAGUUGACUCCUGCUGAAGGCAGUAAAACAUGGGGACGAAGCUCAGUCCUUCCAAAGGAGGAAGGAGAGGAAGAAGAGAAGAGAGGCCAGAAGAAAAAGGGACGCACUUGGGGACCGAGCUCACUUUGUCACAAAGAGCUAGGUGCAGGAGAAGAUGGUCUGAAAGCUCUGGUAGAAGGAUACAAGCAGUGGUCAUCCAGUGCACCAAAUCUUGGGAAGAUCCAGAGAACUGUGCCUGCUUUUCCAGGAUUCACCAGCUUAGCAGAGAUGGAUGAUGAAGACAGUGAAUGUCUUAACGGGGAGGGCAAAGUGCACCCUUCGCCUGGGCACAAUCAGUCAUACCUCUGCAUCCCAUUUCAGAAGAAUGAAGACUGGGAUGGCCCUUCUAGUGAUGCCAAUGAGGAGUCUACUCCUGUGAACUCUGCUACCAGUACCCCACAGCUGACACCCACCAACAGCCUCAAACGUAGUGGCUCUCACCACAAGCGAUGUGAGGUUGCAUUGCUUGGCUGUGGAGCAGUGCUGGCUGCUGCAGGCCUGGGUUUUGAUCUGUUAGAAGCAGGGAAGUGUCAGCUGCUGAUUGAGGAGGAGCCUGAGGCAACCAAGGAAGAGAAAAAGAAGCGUGACAGCAUUUUCCAGCGAGCUGGACGCCCACGCAGGAGCACUAGUCCACCUUCCCGAAAGAUCUUCAAGAAAGAGGAUCCCAUGUUGUUGCUAGGCGAGCCAUCCACAUCCCUCACCCUUCUUUCCCUGUCUUCCAUUUCCGAAUGUAAUUCCACCCGAUCCCUGCUGCGGUCAGACAGUGAUGAGAUUGUGGUGUAUGAAAUGCCUGUCAGCCCAGUGACGGUCAAGGCUCCCUUGCCAGCCAUUACCAACCCACUAGUCAAUGUCCAGAUCGAGAGAUUCAAACAAGAUCCCAACCAGUCCCUGACUCCCACACAUGUGACGGUCUCUUCCCACACCCAGCAAAGUGGGCACAGGCGCACACCUUCUGAUGGGGCCAUCAAAGGGAGUGGACUAGUUGUCAAUGGGUGCCCAACCAGUGGAUGCCCUUCCAGUAGCUGUUUAACUGGAGCACUGGGAGCAGGUGUAUUAAAAACACCUAGUCCAAGUAGAGAUCCCAAUGAGGUCCCUCGCCUGCCAGACCCCAACCUUGUUUUUCCUCCAACCCCAAGACGAUGGAAUGCGCAGCAAGACCCCACACUGGAAAGACCCAAGACAUUGGAGUUCCUGCCACGGCCACGUCCUGCAGCCAGUCGGCAGCGGCUUGAUCCCUGGUGGUUUGUGUCACCCAGCAAUGCCAAGGGUGAAUCUUCUGCCAACAGUUCAAGUACUGAUACUCCAAGCAAUCUGGACUCUUGUUUUGCUAGUAGCAGCAGCACUGUAGAAGAGCGACCUGGACUGCCUGCACUGCUUCCUUUCCAGGUGGGUCUUCCUGUAGAGGAGCGGACACUGUUGGACAUAGAUGCUGAGGGGCAGAGCCAGGACAGCACCAUUCCGCUAUGCAGAAGUGAACUUAACACACACAAAGCUGCAUCAUAUGAACUCAAGCAAGAAUACUGGUCUUAGUAUGAAAUCCACUGGGGACACUGAGCCCCUCUAAAUUAAAUCCUACUUUUUGCACUGAGAAUGCACUUUGAAGACAGGUGAGAUGGAGGGAUGCUACAGAGGUCAUAUGGUGCUGCCUAUGUUGAAGGAAUGGGAGUAGUUGCCUUCCUCUUCGUAGCAUGCUGUUGUCAUAAGACUUUAUGGACAAUACUGCAUAGAGAUGUUACUUCGAUUUGUCAUGAAACCGGACACCUCUCAUUCUGUUGAAGGUGAGGCAGUAACAGUCAAGUAAAGAAAGGUCUUUGCCAUCUGGAGUGUUCGGUUAAAGAGAAAAUUACAGGAAACCUCCCAUCUUGAGUCACCUUUAUGUCUUGAGCUUAACUUUUAUUUGAAACUUAAUUCAUCUCUGUGGGAUGAAUGUGGGAGCUGGAGUCCCAUUAGAUGUAUGGAACCAAACCUAAUACUGUAUCCCAAAAUUAAAUGAUAGCCUGUUACUUUUGUAAGUAACUUUAAGCUAAUAUUAAUGAGUUUGUUUCUUUUAUAUAUAUUUUUUUUUAAAACCUUUCUUCUUUGAAAAAGUGCUUAUUGCUUUCUAACCUUUUCCAUGUGCUUUGGAAAUGAAUAACUUUUACCAACUCUGUGGCAAAUAAGGAGGCUUAUAUCUUGGACAGCAAUACAGGUCCUCCUUUUGGCUUCACCCUUUUCAGUAUUGAAACAAGGAUGUCUGUUUUUGAAAAUGAAGAUUUCUGAUCCUUAUCCUGUUACUGCAGAAGAGUUUCUUAGCUUCCAUAUUUAUAACUCACUUCAGGCUAUAAUUUGGGUAAAAUGGGACAUUAAGAGUGUUAGAAUGCAUUUGCAAAGAAGCAAUAAAUACAGCAUGUGUGUGCAGUGAGAACCAAAAAACAGUUGUGCUGUCAUAGAGGAUAACUUUUAGACUUCAUAAACAUUUGUUCAAUCAUAUAAUUAGGAUGUCUUUAGGAAAGAAUGCCUUCCUUUGGUUUUCUAUUAAGUUCCCUAUAGUAAGAUUAGAAUAUGAUGAUUUGCACAGCCAGUGGUAUUGUACCUAGCUGGACAGGAAGGAUCUAAUACAGUUUGUGUUGUUUAGAUUUUCCUUUCUUGUGUGUUUAACAAACAAGAGAGUCUUAGUAUGAACUUACAUUUGUUGUUUCCUCAGCUCUGCUUUCAUGGUUUUGCAAGGCAGUAUGGAAUUGUGUUUAUGGCUUAUUCUGUGGCUCUGUCUAUUGAAUGGGUUAGUAAGAAGGUCAUGUGCUGAGUUAAAAUGUGCAUUUGCUUUUGUUUUUUUCUAAUGCUCAGCUCUUUUAAGCAGCUUUGAUGUUGGGCAAAGGUGAAUGCAGUUUCUGAAAUGACAUUCAUCAGCUUUACUUUUGUAUGUUAAAAAUAGUCAUUCCCAGGCUGAGGUGUGUGUGCUUAAUUAAAAGGUAAUUUUCCCACUGGUGACUGAGUGAUGGGUCUGCUGUAGCUGCCAAAAUUAAUAUUGUUCCUCCCUAGCAAGCAUCUCCCCUUUUUUGCAACUGUAAAGUCUUCAGCAUUUCAGGAGUGUUUGUAAACAAGAAAUACAUUUUAUCUCCUUCUGUACAGGAGUAAAAAAUCUUCUUUUAUUUGGUUCCAAGUGACCAGGAACAUAAUUUUCCAACUGAAAAUGUUGGAAAAAUGUUGGACUGUUCAGUUUUUGGUUUAAGCCCUGUGAAAUAUAUAUGUAUGUGUUAGACACAUCCUGUAUUCCUAGGUGCCUUCUAUUUUACAUGCCUUCUUGCUAGCGCUUGAGGCUGUUUUUUGGAAGGAACUCCUCGUUGUGGCUUUCAGUGCUGUAGUGUUCUUCAUCACACAUCAGGCCAAAUACCAACACAGUAAACAUUUCAUGUCUUUCCAUUUACUGAUGUGAACGAAUCCCUUCUGGAAUGAAGUGCACUAUUACUGGCUGUCCUUAUCUCUCAAUUAGAAUUCUACCCCUGUCCCAUCUUUACCGGUUAUUAAUUCUUGUUACCAUAGUAUUUUAGGGCAUAAGACAGAAACCAAUACAUGUGUACUUUGACCUAAAAUGUUUCAGAACUAGAAGCAUAAGACACAACUGGGAGAAGUGAAAGCAGAGGUUGGCAGGAAAUAGGGAAUAAAAGAGUGAAAUUAUCUUUCUUAAUUUAAUAAGUAGAAAACAGAGGGAUGCUAGCUGCUUUGUAAUCCUUUGGCAUCAUAAGUAAGUUGGGUUCUAAAGAAGAAUUUGAGGAAUGUGUAGUUACUUAAUUUCUGGUUGGUUUGUUUUAUUUUACCCUGAGCUACCUCAUUUGUAGAGAUGGAGUGGGAAACAAGCAUAAGGUUUGGUAAGAAUUGCUCUAGGUAGGCAGUUGAGGCUGGAGUGAUGGGAGGAGAGAGGCAAACACUUAUGUUUGGCUCCUUGACAUGCAAAUUCCUGAUGAAAAAACAGCAGUUCAGUUUUAUAAGUUGAGAUUAUACUUUGUUUUACUAUAUGUCUCCAAAAUAAACAAUUAAUGAUAAGGCAGGGAAUUUUUCUUGCUGGUUUCCAACCUGUGAAAAAGCUGAUUGUCCACAGACCAGAAAGUGGUGAUUUCGUAUUGGUCACUACUGCUUUUAAAAGUGAAGGUCUGUUUAUUGAAUACAUAUUUUUUUAAAAUAAUCUCAUGUGCUCUUAAAGUAGACCUACAUGCAAUUUUGAUUGUUUCCCUGUAUUUGCAGUGUUGUUUUCGUAGUAUAUCAGAUCCUAACGUAGUCCUUAUUGUAUCUGAAUGCUAAUGCUGUGCAGACAGCCCAAUAUAGUGAAUAUUAAGAAACCAUGACACAUUUCUAGUGUGUAGUGUAGUGGAUUUGUAAGCUUUAAGUGGGCUACUGUUAGAUCUGUAGCUGAUAGGUCAAAUGGAUGCACAGCUAGCAGAAGGGUGCUUGGAACAAUCUGCAGGAGAAAUGCCAAAGUUUUAUUUGCUUAAAAUAAAUUAUUAGUACUUUUCUAGGCUUUUACCCACGCUCAAAAUUUAGUUUCCAAGAUAGCUAGUGAGAACCUAGAAAAGUGUUUGAAAGUUGUCAACUGAAGCCUCAACAUAAGACCAGAUAAAUGCAUUUUUUAUAUGCUGUUUCAGUGAUUAACACUGUCUCCCUGUUCUACCUUGGUUGUUCCAGCAUUUUCUCAAGAACAGAUGCUGAGGUUUGGUAAAGUUAACCUUGUCUUGGAAAGGUGUAUGGGUCUGAGAAAGAAGAAAUAGAUUUCUAGCCAUGUCCUUAUGCUUUUGUCUCUUGUUUUCUUAGUAGUACAUGUUGUAAUGGAGCAGGAAGACAUGCUGAUGCUUUUCCAGGCUUCAUUGAACAGAAAGUUAGUGGCAGAUUUCGGUAUAUAAAUGAACAAGUUCUUUGGGAACCAUUGAUCUUGGUUCCUCCUUAUUGAGUUUCUGAACAAAUCUGGCCUCUGAUUACUGUUUGGCAUAGCUCAGUUGCACACUGAGCUUCUUGAGUUUAACUACAGCUGGAGGAGAACUGAGCUGCUUCAUUCGAUUCUUCUGGGAUUUGUGGAUGUGGCCACUUCUAAGCUUUGGUAAUGUAUCUUCUCCCAGGCCCAGUCCAUAUCACAGAAUGACUGAUUGCCCAGGUAUUCGUAGUAAGCUUGUUCUUCUGCCUAGCAUGCUUUAGUGAGCAGCUCUUUACAGUGUCGACAGGGUUAGCAUUUGUAUCUGAACAGGGCAGCUAAUACCUCUGAGCUAACUUUUCACACUGCAUCUCAAGCAGAUGUUACUGCAUCAGUUCUGCCAUUGUUCUGUUUUUGAGGUUAUCUUGACAACCAUAACGCCCAGAAAUCCCAGACUGUAAAGAACAAAGCCACAGAAAAAAAAAAAAGGCGUGGGGAUGUGGAAUGUGUGAAAAAAGAACGCAUACAAGUAUUUGCCAGUCUGGCCAGUGCUGUUUGCAGAGGGUAAAAUCCAUUCUUGUGCAAGAUAGGUCUCUUUGGGGAGUGGCUAAAUUCGAAGUGGAGAAUGUAACCAGAUCUGCCUACAGUCAGUAGGCAGCAGUGCCCCUCAUAUUUGGCAGUCAUGAAAGAAACCACAUAAAGCCAAGAAUAUUGAGUAGUAAAAGUUCAUGUUUAGGGUAAUUAACUUUUAACUUGAAAAGGAAGAGACCUCAAUUCAAGAAAGCUCUUUUACAUACUUAGAUUGCACUGACUUCAGCGAUCUUUAUCUGUGGGUUAAAAUGCACAAGACCUCAAUUCAGCAAAGGUCUUUCAGUCUAAACUGGAGGAUUGUCCUGUUGAGAUUAAUGGUGAAGGACCAAGGUCUGUACUGUGAUUGCCAGAAGGAAGAGUCAAUUUACCUGAGGAAAGAGUUCUUCCAUGAGCCUCUGGGUAAAUGCUGGUUUGAUUGAUGACUCUUGUGGCCUUCCCAUGACUGCACAUGCCAUACCUAUUUGACUGCUAAUUCUUACCAUAAACAGGGUAGGCUUUCAGAAUGUUUUCUCACACAGAAAGACUUCAGCAUUAGCAGGUUGCUGGCUGCAGUGGGGCAGUAAGUGGUGCAUCAGGUUGUAUGUGCAAGUGUGAGUUUAACCUGAGGCCUUUUCUCAGGUGUUUUUCCUCAUUUCAAAAACACAUCCUUCCAGACUGGUAGACAGACCUGACAAGUUCAGCAGUGAUCAACAUCCACCACUGUUACUGGAGUUCUUGGGUUCUUGUUUGCCAGCUGUUGGCACAGCACUUCGUGCUAAUGUAUACGAUAUCUUUGUCAUAAAUUCAGGACAAGCUGGAAAUAUCUGAGAUAUUUUGCCUGACUUAAGUUGAGAGGCUUAUAUGGAGUGGGCAGGGCAACAAUGAUGGGAAAAUCAGGGAAAAUACCUGUGCUUUUAACAAUGUCUCUUCUGUGGCUUUGAAAGUCCAAGAAUUUCUCAGCCAGAGAAUGUAUUUCCUCCCUCUUUUUAUAAGCUACUUCUUUCUUUUGCCUUAUUAAUUGUGGAUCUGCUCCUGCUUCUGUUUAAAGUCAGAUGCAAAAAUUGGUGACCUGACUUUCCUAGGUACAAUGCUGUAAAUCUGAAGAACCAGGUGAGUAGAUUACUCUAGUUUAAGAUCAUGCCCCCAUGUCUGUUCUUCUGAGAUAUGGGAUAGUUCCUGCUUGUGUUGAAAUUGUGUGGAGGGUGUUGAGUACUUCAUAAGUAACUCCAAACUCUGCAGGACUGGGAUUCAUCUUAAAACUUAAGUGUUUCAGUCUAAUUUUGGAGACCUCUGUAUGUCUUCUCUUCUGUUCAUGGUGUUCAAAAGUCUUUUGCUGCGGAAGUAGCACCUGAAGGUGUGUUUUGCCCGAAGAACCCACAAUGAAGCAGUUACAUUAGCAAAUGGUAAUGUACCCCAGAGUUGAGUAAAAAAAUGGAGGCCACCAAGUUUUUCUUGUUUGUGUGAUGAAAUGUUGUCAAAUUAAGUGAUUUGUUGGAGCCUUCCUUUAACUUCUGUACAGCAGUAAGCUUAGAGGAAAAGAAGAUUGCAUUAUUUUUUAAAAAGCUUUAUUUGUGACCUGGACUUGUUGCCUCUGACCCUCUUGGGCUUAAAUAGUUAAAUUAUAUUAAUGUCCAGUUUGUUUCACUGUAGGUAACACAUCAACUGAAUACUCUUGUGCAUAAUCUACUGUAUCUUUCCUCUGUUCUGUGUCAAUGUAUUACGUGUAUUUGGAUUACAGUUCUUCUUUUGUAUUAAAUUAUUUUAUGUUAUAGAACAAUAUUUAAGCAAAGCAAAGAGCUAAUGAAAGGUGUUGGCGUUUGGGGAUUUCUUUUCUCUUUGCUCUUUUUUUGGAUGUACUGUAAAUUGUAAACCAAGGAUGCCAAGCAGGCUUGGUUCAAUGGCUAAAAUUAUUGUAUUACAGUGUAAUGCUGAUCUAGGCCUUGUCUCAACACUAGAGCACACAGACUUGAAUAAAACUGUU